GGGAUAGAUCGUAGGAUAGCGUA
rnacentral:piRNA from 1 species